AUGUUUGACGGAGUUGAGCGGAUGCUUCGGGGAGUCAGGCAUGUGCCAGUGCUAAGGAGGAAUCUAAUUUCGCUUGGUGUUCUUCAUGAUGGUGGUAUGGAACAUUGUGAUCGGGAUACGGAGACCAUGAAAAUCAUGGAAGAUGGGGUGACCGUGAUGAUAGAAGAGAGGACGGCUUCGCAUCUUUACAAGUUGCAAGGGAGCACUAUUGCAGGUGGAGCCAUGGGGAGUGGAUCUACAAAAGUAGUAGUGGAGUCUCACGGUGACGGCGGGUCUGGCCCGUCGGGUAGCUCUCAGUAA
rnacentral:rRNA from 1 species